rnacentral:tRNA from 1 species
GGCCGCUUGGCCCAAUGGUAAGGCGUCUGACUACGAUCGAGCAUGAGUAAAAACAUGCUUGACAAGUAAUCAGGAGAUUCUGGGUUCGAGCCCCAGGGUGGUCA